CUAGUCUUAUCGGUGGAUCACUCGGCUCGUAGGUCGAUGAAGAACGCAGCUAACUGCGAUUAAAUAAGGUUGUGAUACUUGCAGAAAACCCUUGAACACCAAAAAGCUUUCGAAUGGCACAUUGGCACCCAUUGGGAGUCUUAUCCCUUGGUAUGCCUGGUUUCAGGGUCGUA
rnacentral:rRNA from 1 species